GCACCGUACCUCAGUGGUAGAGCAUCUGUUUUAUGUGCAGAAGGUCACAGGUUCAAUCCCUGGCAUCACCA